UACAGAGGGGGCAAGCGUUAUUCGGAAUUAUUGGGCGUAAAGGGCGCGUAGGCGGCCAUUCAAGUGACGGGUGAAAGCCCUCGGCUUAACCGAGGAACUGCCUGUCAGACUGGAUGGCUUGAGACCGGGAGAGGUGAGUGGAAUUCCCAGUGUAGCGGUGAAAUGCGUAGAUAUUGGGAGGAACACCAGUGGCGAAGGCGGCUCACUGGACCGGAACUGACGCUGAGGUGCGAAAGCGUGGGGAGCGAACAGG
rnacentral:rRNA from 1 species